UCACGUAUGUUGAGGGAUAUAACAAGAAUGAAGUUCCCAACAAGCGCGAGCCGAAGCGUAACGACGUCUGCCUCAUCGCCAUCGACAUUCCCCAACCGCCGUUUCAAACAGGCGAGGCGCGUCGUCGUAGCGGUUCGGUAGGAUAUGACAUGUUACACGGAAGGGUCUUUGGAACCUCAGCAUCAUGCGUAUUUUGUACUGGAAUCUCGGGAGCAUCGAGGCAGUACUGGCCAGUACGUCGAACAACUACGUUGUGCAUAACAACGAUUGCCGUGGUGUGCGAGAGCUAGCGUUCCUUUGUUCUCCGGCUUUGCAGUUAAGAGUCUGGUGCGUAUCACUGACGGACUCAUGCGAACGGCUGAACUGUGUGAGAUUGUGUGUGUACAGCUACAAAGUGCAAGUCCAAUUCUUCACAUCUCUUUGAUUCAGGAUUUGAUUGGGAAUGAUGAAAGCAAUGUAUCCACACACAACCAUGGAUAGCCUCACAGAUGUGUAAAGUUACUGGUGUCUCUACAACACUGAAGAGCCAGGCAUAAACCGGAAGACGUCGCUUGGGUCUGCAGGUGAUUAGGC